rnacentral:snRNA from 1 species
GUGCUCGCUUUGGCAGCACGUAUACUGAAGUUGGAAUGAUAUAGAGACCAUAAGCAUGGUUGCUGUGCAAGGAUGACACAGAAAUUCAUGAAACAUUCCAUAUUUUU